rnacentral:rRNA from 1 species
CGCUCGUAGUCGGGUUUCGGGUCGGGCCGAGCGGUCUGCCGAUGGGUAUGCACUGUUUGGCGCGGCCUUCUUUCCGGAGACCGCGGCUACUCUUAACUGAGCGGGCGUGGGAGACGGAUCGUUUACUUUGAAAAAAUCAGAGUGUUUCAAGCAGGCAGCUCGCUCUUGCAUGGUACAGCAUGGGAUGAUUGAAUAGGACUCCGGUGCUAUUUUGUUGGUUUCGAACACCAGGAGUAAUGAUUAACAGGGACAGUCAGGGGCACUCGUAUUCCGUCGAGAGAGGUGAAAUUCUCAGACCAAUGGAAGACGAACCACUGCGAAAGCAUUUGCCAGGGAUGUUUUCACUGAUCAAGAACGAAAGUUAGGGGAUCGAAGACGAUCAGAUACCG